GCAUACCUGCCAGACCCAGACAGGGACCACACAGCUACCUGGGCUGUGUUAUGGGCACUGUAGCAGAGCCACCUGCACCUCUGGGCCAGCUACCAGUAGGCCGUGCCUGCACAGUUGGCUUUCAUGCAGCACCUGCCCUGCUGGUGGCAUCCACAGCUGCUGCUACCUGUUGUGGCAGAAGCACCACUCAGGUCCACAGCUGAUGCCAGUUUAUCAAGGGCUGUU